UACGUAGGGUGCGAGCGUUAAUCGGAAUACUGGGCGUAAAGCGUGCGCAGGCGGUGAGCUGUGUCCGAUGUGAAAGCCCCGGGCUUAACCUGGGAAUGGCAUUGGAAACUGGCUCGCUGGAGUGUGGCAGAGGGGGGUGGAAUUCCGCGUGUAGCAGUGAAAUGCGUAGAGAUGCGGAGGAACACCGAUGGCGAAGGCAGCCCCCCUGGGCUAACACUGACGCUCAGGCACGAAAGCGUGGGGAGCAAACAGG
rnacentral:rRNA from 1 species